UCAGAGAAAGGUGUCUGCGGCCCAUGGCUUCCUCCUCGUAGAGCCUGAAGGCUUUGUCUAAGGAUCCACGGGGAAAGAUUUCCACUCCCUGGGUUGGGUGAAGCUCUUUACAUGUGACCACAGGGCUGCAGUUGAUGAGUUGAUGUGAGGGUUUUUAAGAAUCACGAGACCUACAGGACAACAUGAGCAAGGGGAGUGAGCAAAUCGGAAGCUAGAAGGCAGGCAGGCUGAGGAACCCGGAUGGCAGAGGAAGAGAAGAAGAACGCAGGGUUUGCUUGCUCACUCUGUUCCAGUGACCUUGGGGCCCUGCAGGGCAGCCCGUGGAGGAGCUGCUCCAUCUGGUGUGAUGGUGACACUGAAGUGUUAAAUCAAGCAUGGGUGUCCUCAGGGGUGCAGGGCCCUGGACACCGAUGCAUUUCUCUCCCUCGCCCCCAGUCAUGGUGGCCACCCUGGUGCUGGGUUCUAGGCCCCUGGAUUCAGCCUCAGCUUGGUGACACUGUGACCAUAGAUUGCAAAGUCUAAGGGCCUCCUACCCAAAAUCUCUCUCUUUCUUCCUGAGGUAACACGUCUUGUUUGGGAAAAACCAGGUCAGGACAUAGAGCUUACAAAACACAGAGGGGGGGUGGAGGGCGGGCGACAGAGAGGAAAUGGGUUUGACCCCUAAUGGGACCUUUGGGGGGCUGGAGCACCACCCCCCGCCCCAUCCUCCCGCAAGGACACAG